UCUGAAGUUGCGGGGGCCGGGGGAGCCAUGGGGGCCACUGGCGACGCCGAGCAGCCGCGGGGACCCAGCGGGGCAGAGCGGGGCGGCCCCGACCUGGGCGACGCGGGCGCAGCGGGGCAGCUGGUUCUCACGAACCCUUGGAACAUAAUGAUAAAGCACCGGCAGGUGCAGCGAAGGGGCCGCCGCUCACAGAUGACGACAAGUUUCACAGAUCCUGCUAUCUCCAUGGACCUCCUCCGAGCUGUUCUCCAGCCUAGCAUCAAUGAGGAGAUCCAGACUGUCUUCAACAAGUACAUGAAGUUCUUCCAGAAGGCAGCACUGAAUGUGAGAGACAAUGUGGGGGAAGAAGUGGACGCAGAGCAGCUGAUCCAGGAGGCCUGUCGGAGCUGCCUGGAGCAGGCUAAACUACUGUUUUCAGAUGGAGAAAAAGUAAUACCCAGAUUGACCCAUGAACUUCCAGGGAUAAAGCGUGGCCGACAGACAGAAGAAGAAUGUGCCCAUCGAGGAAGCCCCAUUCCCAAAAAGAGGAAGGGACGGCCUCCUGGACACAUGCUGUCAAAUGACCGGGCGGCUGCCGGCAUGGUAUGGAAACCAAAAUCCUGUGAACCAAUUCGCCGAGAAGGCCCCAAGUGGGACCCAGCCCGGCUGAAUGAAUCUACCACCUUUGUGUUGGGAUCUCGAGCCAACAAGGCCCUGGGGAUGGGGGGCACCAGAGGGAGAAUCUACAUCAAGCACCCGCACCUCUUUAAGUAUGCAGCUGACCCCCAGGACAAGCACUGGCUGGCCGAGCAGCAUCACAUGCGGGCAACAGGAGGGAAGAUGAUUGCACUCGUGGAUCACAACACUCUUCUACCAGACACAGCUGUAGAAUCUUCCCAACACAGUGAUCCAGGCAGCACCUCUUGUCAGUAGGAGUUAGCACAUGCAGUAAAACUUGUUUGCCACACCUAGCAGCCCUUUCCAGAAUCACCUCUGCUUAAAGAGUACUUAGCUUAUAUCAAGCAACAGUCUUGGGGAAAAUCAUCGCUGUGUGUUCUAAAAGUAGCAGGGUUUUGUUCAUCACAUGCAGUGUCCCCCACCUGAGGCCUCAGUCGCACCACUGUGACUGCACCUGUUAGAACUCCAUGGCCUUGCAAGCCAGUAUGCCAUCUCCUUUCUGGCAAGGAAAAACCAUCUUCUUUUUAGUACUCUUCUUAUUCCUACCCCCUGUUUAAGAAGAUGUCAGGGAGCUUAGCACUGAUACAUAAAACGCAACAUAACAUAAAUAAGAAAUCGAUGGGAAAAAGGAAAGACAGGAUCUAAAGUUAAGCGAUAAGCAAGACGAGCUUUAUUUCUUUUUUAAUUUUUAUUUUUGAGAGAGAAAGCAUGAGCAGGAGAGGGGCAGAGAGAGGGGGACAGAGGAUCCAAAGCAGGCUCUGCACUGAGAAGUAAGCCUGAUGCUAAGCUCGAGCUCACGAACCAUGAGAUCAUGACCUGAGCCGGAGUCGGAUGUUCAACCAACUGAGCCACCCAGGCGCUGCAAGACUAGUAGCUGACUUUUUUAAAUUUUUUUUAAUUGCUGACUUGAUAAACCAGCACACUUCCAUGGGUUUUCACAAAUUUAGCUCUAGGCCCUUCUCAAGGACACCUCAUCUGUUAGAUAGUUCACAGUGCUCAUAAGGUGAAAACAGAUUCCUCAGGGGACACACAAUCCUGACCAUAAGAGCAGAAAGAACUGUCUCUCACAGAAGACUUUCUCAUGUGACGGAUAACAUCCCCUGUAUGGCCUACCUCCUCAUUGAGGAGGACAUCCGGGACCUCGCUGCCAGUGAUGACUACAGAGGAUGCCUGGACCUGAAAUUGGAGGAGCUGAAAUCUUUUGUGCUACCCUCCUGGAUGGUUGAGAAGAUGCGAAAGUACAUGGAGA